rnacentral:rRNA from 1 species
AGUGAACGCUGGCGGUAGGCCUAACACAUGCAAGUCGAACGGCAGCACAGUAAGAGCUUGCUCUUACGGGUGGCGAGUGGCGGACGGGUGAGGAAUACAUCCGAAUCUACUUUUUCGUGGGGGAUAACGUAGGGAAACUUACUCUAAUACCGCAUACGACCUACGGGUGAAAGCAGGGGAUCUUCUGACCUUGCGCGAUUGAAUUAGCCGAUGUCGGAUUAGCUAGUUGGCGGGGUAAAGGCCCACCAAGGCGACGAUCCGUAGCUGGUCUGAGAGGAUGAUCAGCCACACUGGAACUGAGACACGGUCCAGACUACUACGGGAGGCAGCAGUGGGGAAUAUUGGACAAUGGGCGCAAGCCUGAUCCAGCCAUACCGCGUGGGUGAAGAAGGCCUUCGGGUUGUAAAGCCCUUUUGUUGGGAAAGAAAAGCAGCAGGUUAAUACCCCGCUGUUCUGACGGUACCCAAAGAAGAAGCACCGGCUAACUUCGUG